rnacentral:rRNA from 1 species
AUUGAACGCUGGCGGCAGGCCUAACACAUGCAAGUCGAACGAGUGGCGGACGGGUGAGUAAUGUCUGGGAAACUGCCCGAUGGAGGGGGAUAACUACUGGAAACGGUAGCUAAUACCGCAUACCAUCGGAUGUGCCCAGAUGGGAUUAGCUAGUAGGGGGGGUAACGGCUCACCUAGGCGACGAUCACUAGCUGGUCUGAGAGGAUGACCAGCCAACCUGGAACUGAGACACGGUCCAGAAUCCGACGGUAGGCAGCAGGGGGGAAUAUUGCACAAUGGGCGCAAGCCUGAUGCAACCAUGCCGGGUUUAUGAAGAAGGCCUUCGGGUUGUAAAGUACUUUCAGCGAGGAGGCGUUACCCGCAGAAGAAGCACCGGCUAACUCCGUGCCAGCAGCCGCGGUAAUUC